rnacentral:rRNA from 1 species
GGAACCUGUUCUUUAAUUGAUAUUCCACGAUUUUUUUUACUUAAAAGGUUUGUAUAUCGUCGUAGAUUUGAAUAUUUUAUUAAAAUUUUAAUAUUCGAUAGUUUUUAUAAAAAGUUAAAUCAGAUCAAGGUGCAGCUAAUGAUUAAGGUUAAAUGGGUUACAAUAAAUUUAUUUAAAUGGUUUAAUAAUUUAAAUAUUGUUAAUAAAGCGGGAUAGUAAUUUUUUAAAUUAAUUAGAAUGAUUUUAGCUCUAAAAUAUG